GGGCAGGUAGAUCAGCGGUAGAUCGCGUGCUUUGCAAGCACGAAGUCGCGAGUUCAAAUCUCGUCCUGUCCA
rnacentral:tRNA from 1 species